rnacentral:snRNA from 1 species
ACGAUCAGUUGUUCUGUUGAUUG